rnacentral:lncRNA from 1 species
AAUAUACAUCAGAACAUAGGAAUGAUGGCACUUCAAGUACAGUUGCUAGGUGAAACGAAAACCAGAGGCAUGCCUGCAUUCUUUGGUGCUCCGAGGAAAGCAUUCUUCAAAUGAUGGGAGUGGCAGGAAUUCUGGAGCAGUAGGAUCAACUGUUUGUUUCUUUUGCCUGGGUUUUGCUGGCUCUUGUAUUGACUGAUCAGCCAGUGAAACUGCCUUAGGCCUUGAAGAAUUGAAGCCAGCAUUCCUGUCCUGCACAUCUUGAGGACGUGAAAUACCACCAAAACAAGGCA